rnacentral:rRNA from 1 species
CCUGAAUACAUAGGGUGUGAGGAAGGCACCUAGGGAAGUGAAACAUCUCAGUACCUAGAGGAAAAGAGACAAACAUACUCGGACUUUUUGUCACUCAUGAUCAGCAAUGGUCGUGGCGUGACAAAAAGUCCGAAGGAUUCCCUGAGUAGUGGCGAGCGAAACGGGACAAGCCUAAACCUAUAAUAACUAAAUUUUGAACUGAGUUUACGCAAGUAAGCCGCAGACAGGAUAGCGAGCUUGGGCUGUCGUUAUAUAGGUGUUGUUGGGACUUACUACGAUUUCCCCCAAGGGAAUCACGUUUAAGACGAGAUAUAUAGUCGAACGAAUUGGAAAAUUCGGCCAAAGACGGUGAUAGCCCGGUAGAUGAAAUAUAUAGCGCUAGGCGAGUGAAGAUCCAAAGUACUACGAGGCCCGAGAAACCUCGUAGGAAGCAGCCACGACGAUGUGGCAAGGCUAAAUACUCUUCCUGACCGAUAGUGAACCAGUACAGUGAUGGAACGUUGAAAAGCAGCCCGGGAGGGCGAUGAAAUAGUAUCUGAAACCGUAUGCUUACAAGGAGGUGGAGCGGGCGCAAGUCCGUCACACCGUUCCUAUUGAAGAAUGAGCCAACGAGUGUGCUGUGUGUCGCUUGAUUAAGUCCCUGCGGGGAUGAAGUCACAGUGAAAGCGAGCCUGAAUAGGGCGUUGGUGGCACAUACACAACCCGAAACCCGGCGAUCUAUCCAUGACCAGGUUGAAGUCCCGAGAAAUCGGGAUGGAGGACCGAACUCACGAGCCGUGCAACACUCGGAGAUGAGUUGUGGAUAGCGGUGAAAUUCCAAUCGAGCUGGGUAAUAGCUGGUUCUCCUUGAAAUAGGUUUUGGCCUAGCGGUGGUUAAUAGCAAAGUGGGGGUAGAGCACUGAAUGAGGUCCGGGGCGCAAGCUUACGUACUUCAACCAAACUCCGAAUACCACUUUGUGUUCCCACCAGUCAGUCCAUGGGGGCUAAGCUCCAUCGGACAAGAGGGAAACAGCCCUGAUCGUAAUCUAAGGUCCCUAAAUUAAUGCUAAGUGUGAAAGGUGGUCGGACGGCUUAUACAACCAGGAGGUUGGCUUAGAAGCAGCCAUCCUUUAAAGAAAGCGUAACAGCUCACUGGUCAAGCUGUCCGGCGCCGAAAACUUAUCGGGGCUAAGCAUUAUACCGAAGAUACGAACUGCAUUUGUCCUCGGACAUUUGCUUUGGUAAAGGAGCAUUCUGUUCAGCACUGAAGCGAAAGGCGCGAGCCAUCGUGGAGCGUACAGAAGUGAGAAUGUUGGCAUAAGUAGCAUAAAUGGAGGUGAGAAUCCUCCACAUCGUAAACCCAAGGUUUCCAGGGCAACGCGAAUCGCCCCUGGGUUAGUCGGUCCUAAGGUGAGGCCGAAAGGCGUAAUCGAUGGACAGCAGGUUAAUAUUCCUGCACUUCUAUAGAUUUCCAAUGGAGAGACGCAUCCUUCAACUACUCGAGAUUCUCGGAAUGAAUCUUUGGGGGUCAAGGGGUGCCUGAUAGGCAAAUCCGUCAGGCAUUAGCCUCGUGAUCAUCGCAAGCUUAUCGAAAGAUAAGCAAGGGGUGGGACUGGGGUGCCAAGAAAAUCUUCUAGGGCUAAGUCUAUAGAAACCGUACCGCAAACCGACACAGGUGGGUGGGCAUGAGUGUGCUCAGAUGAACGAGAGAACCCGCGUUUAGGAACUCGGCAAUACAGCGACCGUAACUUAGGGAUAAGGUCUCCCCACCGCAAGGUGGGGCGCAGCUAAAGACGCAAACCGACUGUUUACCAAAAACACAGCUUCCUGCUAAAUCGCAAGAUGAAGUAUAGGAAGUGAUGCCUGGCCAGUGUCAGAACGUUAAAGGGAGAGGUCAUGAUCGCAAGAUCGGCAGCCUUGAGCUGAAGCGCUGAUGAACGCCGGCGAUAACUAUAAUCGUCCUAAGGUAGCGAAAUUCCUUGUCGGGUAAGUUCCGACCCGCACGAAUGGCA